AAACUAAAUUUGGAAUUACUUGUUUUCUAGCUUUAAAUGCCUGCUUUAUUUCUUCUUCAAGAUAUGCCUAAAAUGUUUUCUAUUUAAAAAUUACAAAAAUGAACCCAAGCCUGUUUUAAGAUAUUUGUGUAAUACAUUAAAAGUGUACUAAUAACUUAUGGUUGUUAAAUAAUUUAAAAGUUAGAAAACUAAACUGUUACAUGAAUCAUGGUUAGUAGACACUAAUGUAUAACAUGUUAAUGGAAAAAAAUGGAUUUAGAAUAAUAAAUGGAUUUUAAACU
rnacentral:lncRNA from 1 species